CAGCCGCCGCGGGAAUACGAAGGGGGCUAGCGUUGCUCGGAAUGACUGGGCGUAAAGGGCGCGUAGGCGGUUUGCACAGUCAGAUGUGAAAUUCCUGGGCUUAACCUGGGGGCUGCAUUUGAUACGUGCGGACUUGAGUGUGAAAGAGGGUCGUGGAAUUCCCAGUGUAGAGGUGAAAUUCGUAGAUAUUGGGAAGAACACCGGUGGCGAAGGCGGCGACCUGGUUCAUGACUGACGCUGAGGCGCGAAAGCGUGGGGAGCAAACAGGAUUAGAUACCCGGGUAGUCCCUGUCUCUUAUAC
rnacentral:rRNA from 1 species